rnacentral:rRNA from 1 species
UACGUAGGUGGCUAGCGUUGUUCGGAUUUACUGGGCGUAAAGGGUCCGCAGGGGGCCGAUUAAGUCUGAUGUGAAAUCCCAAGGCUCAACCUUGGAAUUGCAUUGGAAACUGGUUGGCUAGAGCAUCGGAGAGGAGAUUGGAAUUCCUGGUGUAGCGGUGGAAUGCGUAGAUAUCAGGAGGAACACCGAAGGCGAAGGCAGAUCUCUGGACGAUAGCUGACCCUCAGGGACGAAAGUAUGGGUAG